rnacentral:piRNA from 1 species
UCAACAGGCAAAACAAGGGCA